GGUGGGGUGAUGAGGUGGACAUUAAGAGCGAGUUGCGAGAGACAAAGAAAUGUUUACUUAAUGCGUCUUAAAGUCAGAGUAUUCAAAUCCACAUACCAAGGCCGACUUCAAUAGGUGAAAGGUUAUGAGAUCCGAGUGAAUACUAUGACCUUUUGCUUGAAGGGCUCUCACGAAUUCUCCAAGCUAUAGAAAGAUAAACCACAUCCCUCCCACUCCAACCCCUCUUCUUCCUUGAUUUCGGUGGCCUCGUCGCCGACCACGGGAGGGAGAGGGGUUGGGCCUCCUUCCUCCUUGUAGAUCCACCGUUUCUAGCCAGGAACCAUGGAGGUAGUCACAGAGCUUCUUCUGGUGACACUCUUCAGCAUCUUCGUGGUCUUCAUCGCUGUCAUCUAGGAGUGCCGCAGAUUUGGUCAAGAGAAGGUUGUAUUAGCCAUAUUCCUUAUCUCCAGUGAGCUUCAUGAAGGGUGAUAGAUCUCCUCUUUGCUACUAGUGAUAAGUUCUCAACAAGCAACUGAGUUCCUCUAGUCGCGCCCUAGAUACCUUAACCUUCAAUCCGUGGAAACUGCAAUCGGAUAAGCUCCUAGGUGUAAUCUCUUGUAGCCUACCGUGGAAUUUUUGCCUCUAUCAUCGGCAUCAACAAUUCAAUCAUUGCUCUCGAUUCUGCUUCAACCUUGGCCUUUUUCGGUUUUGACAGAACUCA